rnacentral:lncRNA from 1 species
UUUUUUUUUAAAUACUAGGGAUUCAACCCAGGGGUGCUUUGCCACUGAGCUCCAAUCCCCAGCUCUUUUUAUUUUUUUAUUUUGACAUAGGGUCUUGCUAGUUCUGAGCCAGACCUUGAGCAUGUGGGAUUAUAGGCAUUUGACAUUGUCCCUGACCAGAUACUAACUUUUGAUUCAAAAUGUAUAUGCUUAUUCAACUAAUGGUUAUUAAUCACUGUAUUUGACAGUGACUCUUACAUCUGAAUCCUGCUUUUGUAGUUUAGUGGUAACAUUAAGAAACUUGUGAGAUAGUUAUUAUUUCUUUGUUGGGAAAUGAGACUAAGGGGAGAAAGCCUGUGGCUCACGAAAUUCUUGUAUUUACAUAUUGUACUUAGAGAGUCAGUAAAUAGCAUCUGUUCUGCACCCAAGUCUAGAAUUAGUUAAGAGAUGGUUGCAGAAAACGGGCUACUUUUAGUUACAUGUCACCUUCAUCACUGAUAGAAUCAUUAGGAUGAGGAGCCUUAAGUCUGGUAGCUAAGUGACUUGUUAUUAAUUCAGAAACAGUUACGAAUGGAACUGGCAAACCAGGAUCCUGUUAACUUUAAGUCUGGAAGAAAAGGGGAUCUGGUGUCUGUCAGUGUUUUAAGGUCUGAGAGUGAGAAAAAAGAGGCUAAGCCACAUACAAUUAGUGCCUCCCAUGCCCACCCCUGGAAAAAGUUAGGGGUAGAGAGAGGAGUGUUCCCGAGUAAUUAGCAAAACAUCAUGGAAAUUGGAAGAGGGAAUAGGUACUCUUUCCUAAUGUUAUUUUAGGGCAAAAUGUAGCAUAUUGUGUACAUGAGGUAGUAGGGUGUUUGGAGAAAUAAACAUACUUUCCUAUUUAAUAGUAAUUAGAGUGCCUGAGCUAGAAUGGGUUGUUACCCUCUAUCUAGUAUUCUGACCAUGUUACAUAGUUACCAAUAGUAAGUAACUGUUUGUAUCUUCCCAUUGUCAUCAAUGUAUGUUGCACGGUAUUUCUGUUGCCAAAGUCUCACCAAUUCACCAGAGUGAUUAGGGUUGCACUGGUUUGGAUGAGCCAUAGCCCCAUGUGAUUUACUGUGCUCACUUUGCUUUAAUAGUAGGAUCUGGCCACAAUGGUAGUAAAUGUGAAAAUUUAUAGUCAAUAUAUAUUCAUAUAUUAGUAAAAAUUUGGAUAUUUAUAGUAUAUGGUACAAUUAUAACAUUAAUGUAAUACAAUUAUGGUCAUAGCAUUAAUUUAAAAGUAGCAUUCAGUCCUGAUUCAACAAAUUCUUGGGAUUCUUUCAAAAAAAUCUUGGCUGAUGUCAGAAAUUAGCAAAAACACAUAGUCCUUGUGUUAUUAACAGUGGGCCAGAAAUGUGAAGGCCUGGGAUGGGAAGGGCUGUGUUGCAUUUGUGGAACUGAUAGUGUCCCAGGUGGCCUGAAGACAAAGGAGAGGGAGAGGCAAUCUGGCACUAGAUCUUGUAGGCUACAUCAAGGUUAUUGGCUUUUAAAAGUGGUAGAGAAAAAAGUAAAGGAUUUUGUAGUAAGGGGAGACAGCACCAUUAGUACAAUGGGGAGAAUGGAUUUGAGGGGGAUGCGGUAUGGAAGUGGGUUGGGAGUCUGUUGUAGGACUGCAGGUCAGAGAUGAUGAUGGCUUGGAGCAAGGUAAUGGUAGUGGAAGUGGAAAAGUGGAAGGAUUCAAGGUACUUUAGAGAGAAAGUUGACAGACAUUGUCUGUGGUUUGGUGUAGGGAUUUGAAGGAGAAGGCAAUGAUUAGAAUUGGUCUAAGGUUUUUGUCUUAAUGGUUUCUGGGCCCAUUCAUGACGUUGGUCAGUCACUGGAAGAUGAAUACAUUUAUUGGAGGUAGAAUUUGACUUCAUAUUAAAUUGAAGUGCAUGUGACACAUCCAUGUUAGUAUAUCAUAUAGCAGUGAGUUUUGUGGGUGUGGAACUCAUGUUUGGGAUAGUUGACCUAGAUGAUUUGAAGUUGUAGAUAUGGGUGAGAUUGCUUAGGGAAGAAGGUCUCCAUUUGAAUUGCACAUUGGAAUCAUUUGAGCUCUGAAGAAAGAUUACCCAAAGAUGCUAGGGUGUAGCUGAUCUAGGGUCAAAUUUGGGCAUUGGGCUUUUAGAAUCUCCUCUGAUAGUACUAAUGUGUAAACAAGUUUCAGACCUGCUGGCCUUUAGCAGAUCUGAGACUAGAAGAGGAAUCAGCAUUGACCCUUGAGUAACACAAAUAAUCAGUCAAGAGAAGGACGAACCUAUCUAGGAGACUAUUAAGAAGUGGCUGGGGAGGUAGGUAGGAAACUAAGUGUGGUGUCAUAGAAGUGAGUGAGAGUUGCCAGGGGAGUCUGUGGCUGCUCUGAAGCCAGUUCAAUGGAAUUUGGUUUAGCAACAUGAUCAUCAUUUACUAGUAGAUCUGUUAGUAGGAGUCUUGGAACAGAAGGUGGUUGGAGUGAGUUGAAUAAAGUGAGAAGAAAUGGAGACAGCUAGCGUAGGUAACUUGUAAACUUGCUGGGGGAGAGACUGAAGCUUAAGAGGUAUGCCAUUAGAUUAAGAUAUUUUGGGCUUCACAAAACAAACUGAGGCAAAUGGUGUAAAUGGUGAAGAAAACAAUCUCAUUCACAAGUUCAAAAAGAAGGUGGUUCUAAGAUUAUUGAACAGUGUAAUCAGAGACCUGUUUUCUUCCAGCCUUAGAGUGUCACUUGGUCAGCGGGCUGUCCCUUCAGGAUGGCAGAGUGGCCAUUGUGGCUCAGACAUCAAACCAGAUAAUGGUCUCCAACAGAAAAAAGAUAGUUUUUCUUUGUAGGUGGUUUUUUUUUUUUUUUUUAAGAUCUUAGUACAUGUUUUCAAAGACCAAACAACUGAAACCACCCACAUCACAGACCCAGUACCUAAGAAGUCCCCCUUGUUUCUCCUUCCAGUCACUACCCAAGUCCUUCCCCUGUAUUACUACUGUUCUGACUUCCAGAGGUUAGUUUUGCCUGUCUUUGUGCAAUUAUAAAUGGAAUUGCAUACUAUGUGCUCUUCUGUGUUUGGCUUUUAGCAUUCUUUUUGAGAUCCAUAUUGUUGCAUGUAGUUGUAAAGUGUUCAUCUAUUGCAUGAAUAUACCAUGUUUUAUCCAUUCUAUCGUCGAUGGGCAUUUUGGUAGUUUCUAGUAUUUGGCUUUUACAGAUAGUGUUGUAAAUGUAUGUAUCCAUUUUUGUUAAAGUGUAUAAUCGAGGACUUGAAUUGCUGGGACAGAAGGUAUGCUUGUAUUUAGCCUUACUGCAUAGUUUCCUAUGUGGUUUUAUCACUUUAUGGUCUUACUGGCAACAUGUGAAUUUCAGUUCCAUGUCCUCACCAGCACUUAUCAUUUUGCAUCUUUCAUUUUAGAUAUUUUGGUGGGAGUAUAUAGCACUGUAAUUUUAAUUUGCAUUUCUAUAAUUCAAGUAAGGAUAUUUAAGUUGAGUAUUUUUCCAUAUGCUUAUUGACUAUUUGGAUAUUCUCUUGGUCUUUUGCUCGAUUUUUAUUUUUCCUAGGUUGAAUGUCUUAUUCAUUUGUGGGAGUUUUUUUGUAUUGUUUUGUAUUCUGGAUGAGUCCUUGGUCAGACUUAUGUUGCAGAUGUCUUCUCAGUACCUUUUCAUUCUUGAUGUUUUCACUGAGAAGUUAUUAAUUUUAAUAUAGUAGGUUCUAUUAAUUAUUUCCUUUAUGGUAAGUGCUUUUUGUGUGUAGUCUUUGCUUACUCCAAAGCCACCAAGGUGUCCUCUGUUUCUUCUACAAUUUUAACUUUGAUAAUUAGAUCUGCAAGCCCUCUGAAGUUGAUUUUUGUAUUUCAUGUGAGGUAGGGUUCAAAAUUCAUAUGACUGUCCAAUUGACCCAGCACCAUUUCUUAAAAAAGUAUUAUUUUCUCCAUGCACUGCAGUGUCACUUUGUCAUAAAUCAGGUGAUUGUGUCAAAUCCAUUCCUGGUUUCUCUUUUGUUUUCUGUUGGUUAAGUUGUCUUACAUACUUUUUAAUUUUUUUUUCUUUUUUGUAUAUAGCCUUUUACUAGGAAUUGCUAUCUGGUGGUAUGAUACCUAGUUUUGUUCUUCCUUAUAAUCUCUUUUUAAGAAUAAUGAAUUAAUAUGUGUGAAUACAAAAUGAUAAACCAAUGAAUUUUAAACCAGAUAAAUAGGGGAAUAGGAAAAAGAGAAAGCAGGCAAAUCAAUGAGUUAGACCCCCUGAGAAGAUAGUAGGAAAUAGUUUAACCAGUAAGAGUUGGAUGCCCUCACAGGUGGAUUUAGGAGUUUGACAGUUCUGAGUGAUGCUAAGUUUUGCCAAAGGGGUGUGAUGGUAGAUGACUGAGUUGAGGUAUGGGAGGUUGUUGAAGGUAAGCCAGGCAACUGAGAGACUGAGUAUGCAUAUACUGAUGUUUACAUUUUCUAACUUAGCAUCUACCUCAAAACAGCUAGAAAAGAAAGAAUUAUUAUCUUCAUUUUACAGUUGAGAAGGUGGGUUCAGGGAUAUUAAUGACUUGUUUAAGGCCCCAGGAGAAUUAGCAGUUGAAUUGGACUUAACUUAGGCCUUCUGUCCAGGAAUGCAUGCUCUGUUCGUAUAGCUUAGCUAACAAGACCUGGGAGUUAAAAUUUUGGCUACAGAAGUCUUAUUAUUGAAAGGCAAAAUUAUUGCACGCAAAUAUACAAAUUUUCAGUUAUGCAUAUGGUAAGAUGUUGAUACGAUAUAUGCAGGAAAUACUCCAGAAAUGCUGAAAAUACUUAUUCCUGGGUUGUUGUGAUUGUGACUCUGGGUGACUUUUCCCCUUUGUUUUACUUUUAUGUAUUUUCCAAAUUUCCUAUAAUGGACGUAUAUUAUGUGGAUUUUAAAAAAUUAGUAUUUGACUAAAUGAUAUACAUGGAAAAUUCAGAACAUAAAAAUAGAUAGCAAUAUACAGUACUUUUACAAAAAUAAAAGAAUGGAGAUGUUUAAAUAUU